UUGUUUGUUUGAUCCGUUGUGGUUUUAUGGGGGGAGGUUGCGAGCUGGCUCAUUUCUUGCUGGGAGCAGUGACUUGCUAAUGUCUCAGUUGGUUGCCUAUCAACUGUUCACCAGCCAAGACAGAGCCCGGCAUAUAAACUCCUGUAAAAAUAGCAAUUACUUGUUUUUACACUUCAGUUCGUGUGUAUAGAUUAAACAAAUGUUGUAUUAUGUCUUAAUCAGUGAGCUUUAGAGGUGCUGGUAGAUUAACUUUGUUAGCUCUCGACAGAGCCACACUAGCUGUUUCCCUGUUUGUGCUAAGCUAAGCCAACCGACUGCUGGUUCAGAAAGGAGACUGGCAUCGAUCUCACCAAGCUUUGCACAUGAUGUGGGAACAUACUGACCCGACAACUAUCCACAACAACAGAGCAAGCUCUCCAGAGGAAGACCAUGAGAUGUGCUUAAGCUCUAGAAUUAGUGCAGAGGAAGGAGAACAGAUGCUUUGGACACAGGCAACUUCCUCUCAUGAUAUUUGAAUGGUGAAGAGAUCGAAGAGAGGCUGACUGCACGGUUGGCUGAGAGCCUCUGUAGGGCCUGAUAGGUGGCCCCACUCUUCAUCACUCUGAGGUCAGUGAAGGGCCACAAACAUAGUGGCUCCACUUACGCACAACUUUCAAAAAGGGGAAGGUGAUAUGACAAUAUAUAUUGUGGGACAAUAUAAAUCUGACAAAUCUCAAAUGUUUUUUAUAUUUUUACUUUUACU